GAGCUCAAUCAAAAGAAACGAGGGUAAGAUGUAGAUAAAAUAUCAUUCCUCAACCACAGACCUUUCCAAAAACGAAGCCGAGAACCCCUCCCCACCACAAAAUUAAUGUGAGGAGUGAAUAUGGUAUAAAUCUGACAAAUAGAUCUCCAUGGACUCUCAAAGAACAUCGCAAACUAACAAUGGUAUCUCACCCAUUCACCCCCAAUCCAUGCUUACUUUUAAUCACUUUAUGUCAAAAGAAUGAUCUUCUAAGGGGAAAUGACAUAAUCAUUUUCCUAGUAGAGCGAUGUUUUGUUCCCAAUCAGCUUAUUCGUUUAAAAAUUUUGUUUUUGAGGGGUUUUCUUCCUUAAACGCUAGUCAAGCUAGGAAAAAUAUUUCCUUCGAGUGGGUCACUGUUUAGCAACUACUUGGAAUAGCGAAGAAAUCUGGGAGCAAAGAAUGCCGGUUCUUGUUGCUAGCAAAUGAAGUUAAAUAGAUCAACAACAACUUUGUGAGUUCUUAUUGCAGAAUCCACUUAUCUUUGAGUAAAAAUGACGAGAAAUCCAGAAGGAUGUCUGAUCACAUGAAUUCUGUGGAAUUAUCUUGGAUGGGUGAUUGUAAAUCGAGAAGCUUAUGUAAACUGGAGGGAUAUCUUCAUCAAGAAUUCCAGAGGGAAAGGAGGUCUCAGGAUGGUGGACUUUCUGCAAAGCGUUGAAUGUUGAUGAAGGAAAGGCACAAAAAACUCCACUAAGAAUUCUGGGUUUAAUGUGUAAAACUUGUGGGUCUAUUGUGUCGUAAGGGAUGGAGACAGACUUACAGAUGGAUCUAUAGACAGAGAAAGUACUGAUGCCCAAACAAAGAUGGGUGGAGUUACAGAGGGUCCUAUGGAAGGUCCAGCAAAUCCUUGGAAAGAUGUCGCUACGGACUCUGGGUUGAAAACAUUAGAAAAUGAAAAGCAAUUUGCAGCCAAUGGGUGGAACCAAAGACUGAGCAGAAAGAUUUCCUUCUCGAGAAGAAUUGCAAGAAUGACGUGAAGAGGACACUGAUCUGCUUCUGGGAUAGAUUUGGGAAUAUGAAGACCAGUUUUUGUUUUCCUUUCAAUUGUGGAUAUGGAAGAAUCAGGGGCCGUUGAGGAUCAUAGGGAUUGUUUGAAUGCUAAAGAAAUUGACGUUUCAACGCGAGGGAGUUUUGACAAGGCAGUUUGGCUGAAACUAAUGUUGGAGUUUCAAAGAAUGGACAAGAUCAUUCAGAAGCUGUUCCUAGUAAGGUUGGGGAGCCAGAAAAUAUUAGUCGACCUGUCGGCAUGGGUGUGACUAUUAAUGUUGUCUUGUCAAAUGCUGGGCACACCUUAGAAGGUGUUGAGGUAGAACUUGUUAUGAAUCCACUGAAACUUGCAUUUGAGACAUAGAAUUUGAAAGUUCUCAAACUUGCUUUGGACUGCUUUCAUUUAUGUAUUUGUUAUCUUUCAUAUUUGGCUAUAAAAUACUACUUGGUAAA